rnacentral:rRNA from 1 species
UACAGAGGGGGCAAGCGUUAUUCGGAAUUAUUGGGCGUAAAGGGCGCGUAGGCGGCAUGGCAAGUGGAUGGUGAAAUCCCUCGGCUUAACCGAGGAACUGCCGUCCAAACUGCUUCGCUUGAGACCGGGAGAGGUGAGUGGAAUUCCAGGUGUAGCGGUGAAAUGCGUAGAUAUCUGGAGGAACAUCAGUGGCGAAGGCGACACCCUGGACUCAUACUGACACUGAGGUGCGAAAGCGUGGGGAGCAAACAGG